rnacentral:rRNA from 1 species
UUGGAGGGCAAGUCUGGUGCCAGCAGCCGCGGUAAUUCCAGCUCCAAUAGCGUAUAUUAAAGUUGUUGCAGUUAAAAAGCUCGUAGUUGAACUUCAGACCUGACCGGGCGGUCCGCCUAACGGUGUGUACUGUCUGGCCGGGCCUUACCUCUUGGUGAGCCGGCAUGCCCUUCACUGGGUGCGUCGGGGAACCAGGACCUUUACCUUGAGAAAUUAGAGUGUUCAAAGCGGGCUUACGCCGGAAUACAUUAGCAUGGAAUAAUAAAUAGGACGUGCGGUUU